rnacentral:lncRNA from 1 species
CAGCCGCAGGUGCAAGGCACACACCCCACUUGCUGAAGUCCCCCGCAAUAACCACAGAAGCAGGAUAGGGGUCUGGCUUUCUCUUUAGUUCUCAUCACACUAGGGCUCUCAGUCACAGAGAAGGCACUUAAAUGGGAAGGCCACCUGAUGCAGGCCAACCAUAUUCACCCCCCGCCCACCCGCUCUGGGGGAGGGGAGCACAACGACAUCACCACUUGACAUCCCCCUUGGCACUGGGAGCAGCCCUCAGCUGUCGGCCCUGGAGAAGCUGCACUGUGGGGCCUGAAGGACAGACUCCUGCUGCCUUCCCCAGUGGUAACAGACCUCCCCUGCCUCCAAGGCAGAGGCAAAGGUUGGUAGGGGCCCUCUCAGUCCCAAGGGAGGAGGUGGGGCAGGGGGAGGGGCUGGUUCUCCCCUCCCAGCCUAGAGCUGUGCCCCUGGGAAAGCUGGGCGGGGAAGAGGGGGCUCUAUGCAAGGCACUUGAUGUCCACCGUUCCCAGACUGGGGGUCCAAGGCAGGAACCCUGCCCCCAGGAAGCAGAACCGGAAGGGGCCAAGGGGCCCAAUUUGGCAGCAGAGAAACAUGGCAGCAUGGACAGAGACAGAAAAAGGGAGCAGCAGGCAGGGCCCCCCAGGUCCCCUGAGAAUAGGGGAGGAGGUUUGAAGGCACUGACACGGGGCCUGGAGCUCACGGUCCUCAGUGCAGCCUGCUGCCCCUACACCGCCUGGUGGGGCUGGUGGGGGAGACGCCCGCUUCCCCAUGGCACUGAGUGUGGCGGCGGCCCAUGGGUUUUCCUAACAAAGGCCUGGGCAAUCUUCCUGGGAGGAGGUGUGGGUAUCAUUGGUCAGGGGCAGGUCCUGGCCCCAUCACCCUCACUAGCUCCCUGGCCGUGGCUGCCUGAGCACUGAGUACACGUCGUCCACACGGCUGAGUUGCUCGAAGAAGGGGAGGAGGUCGUGGAGCUCUGUGUCACUCAUGUUGUCAAACCACGAGGCCACCGGUACCUGGGGAAGUGGGUGUAGGAAGAUGAGGGGGGCAGGUGGUCCUGGGUGCAGAAUUUCCAGGCCAGCCCUAUGUAGCCACUACUCAGAUCAUGCAGUUUCUGAAAACCCCUCACCCACAGUGUUCAAACUUUUUUGACAGCAACCCCCAGGAAAACACAUUUAUAACGUAACAAUGCAAAAGCUUCACAAUUCCUAACCUUAUCUGUGCGAAGCACUCAGAUACUUUUUUUUUUUUGAGGCAGGGUCUUGCUCUGUUGCCCAGGCUAGAGUGCAGUGGCACAAUCUUGGCUCACCACAGCCUCUGCCUCCAGGGCUCAAGUGAUACUCCCACCUCAGCCUUCUGCAUAGCCGGGACUCCAGGCAUGCACCACCACGCCUGGCUAAUUUUUGUAUUUUUUGUAGACAUAAGGUUUCACCAUGUUGCCGAGGCUGGUCUUGAACUACUGGGCUCAGCUACCUGCCCACCUCAGCUUCCCAAAGUGCUGGGAUUACAGGCAUGAGCCACUGCACCCGACCGGAUAUUUUCUAUUCUAUUUCAUUUUGUUAAAAUUCCCAAUCAGAACCCACUAAAUUAAUUCUGUGGGCCAUCAGUAGGUCACAACUGGCAAUUCGAAAAGUUGAAACUUUCCAAACUCCGUUGCCCUGUGGGGGCCCCUGUGCAUGGCAGAUGCUCUGCUGUGUGCGAGGGGAAAAGACCAUAUGGCUACAGGGCAGGUGGAUGAGGGGAGUGGGCGGCAGGCACAGGCAAUGAAUGCAGGAAGGACUGGGAGGGCACCCACCCCCCAACUGGGGAUCCAGGAGGCCAAGGUGGCCUGAAUGGACUGACCCCUUCCUGGGUCUCAGCUCCUGUCCCAGUCCCAGUCCAGCCCGCACUCACAGCAUUGUCUGGAUGGAAGACAUAGGAGGCAGGUGAGUUGUCCAGGAUGAGCACCCGCCGCAGGUCUCGACCCAACCGGCUCAGGUCCUUCACGUAGUUCCCCCGGUGGAAGACGCAGGACUCUCGAAACAGCCGGGCCCGGAAGGCCCCCCAUUUGUCCAGCAGGUCAGCUACUGGGUCUGCGUACUGGGAGCAGGAGGUGGGUCAUCCUGGGGCCCGUAGGUUCAUUGGGCUGCAUGCGGGAGGUAGGUAGGAGGGCAGGGUUGCCCCGGGACCCCUGUGGGGCUCACCUUGGCGAGGCUAGCAGUGAACAGCACACAUUCAAAGAGCUCGCCCAUUCGCUGCAGGAACUCAUCCACGUGAGGCCGCUUCAACACGUAGACCUGGGGGGCGGGCCAGUGAGGGGGCUGCGGGCCAGUGGGGCAGUGUAGGGGUGGCCGAGGGCUGGCAGGGCAUGGGCCAGGGAGGCAGAGGCGCACAGGAAGGAGGCUGGGCCUGCAGGCUCCGCUUGGCCAGCUACCCUGACCACUGCUGGGGAAACUGUACCCCCCAGCCCCCCCAGAAAACGAUCAAAACUUCCACUCCACUGGCCAGUCCUACCUCACGAGGUCCCUAAUUCCCAGUCCCUUCCCCUGCCUCAGCCUCAGCCUAAUGCAGGAAUCCAGGGGCAGCCCCCUCACCCCAAGGCUGCAGGGCACCGGUCCCCGAGCCAAGUAAUGGAGAACAGGCUGGACAGCACACAACCUAUCCUGAAUUACUUGAACUGGGUCCCGGGCAGGGUGGGGCGAGGGAGCACAGCACGGGGGGGCCUAGAGGAGGAGCCCACUCUGCAGGCUUGGAGUCAGCACAAGCCCUUGAGGUUCUGUGUGACUUUGGGACAAGUCUCACACCCUCUCUGGGCCUCUGAC